CAAACCAUCACAUAUUUUUAGAUUAUUGUUGGCUGUUUACUAAAAAAUCACACACGGAGAAUUUAUUUCGUGAUAUCGUAUAAGAAGAAAGUAAUAGGAAGCUAUAGUCGUACGCAAAAUGUCUUUUAAGCCAGAAAUCAGCCCGGCAUCGUUACUAAACCAGCUAAAUGAUCGACGGUGACAGAACUUUUGGCAGAGCAUAUCCCGGAAGAUGAAGCAAAACUCUUAAGCAAUGGAAGAUAUACAUGCUUAGUGUGCCAUGACAGACCAGUAGUUGAUACUUUGGCAAUUUUAUCUCAGCAUCGUGUUG